GUUUUGCAUGCAGACGUUGCUGCAUCUGCAUCUGAUGUUGAGAAGACACUCAAUCUGCCUGCCAGUCCUCGUCUGAUUUUGCUGGGUAUGGCAGAGCCGGCAAAUGCUGUACGGUAGAUGAUAAGCCUAGAGGGCUGUGUUAUUUGUGAGUGUGUCCAGUCAACAUUUUUGACUGCAUUUGCAACAGUGUUUGCUGUGUACUACAUCUUCAACCUGCAGUAUCAAGAGGAGGCUUGUUGCACAUUAGAA